CGCCAUUUUGGGAGGGUUAGCGAGGCUCGAAAUGCCCGUGUCAGGGCCGGCCCGCCUGCCUGUGCCUGGAGGAGCGGGAGCCUGUGAAGCACCUCAGCCCACGCGACGCGCCCCAGCAGGCGGGGAGGCGCUCGGGGGCAGCCCCGGGCCCGGGCGGGGGUGCUGGGCCUAGCCGCCAGGCGGCUGGCCUGUCGUUCCCCGCCCCCCGUGGCAGGGCCUGCCUGACCGUGCGGCCUGGCGCCGCCCGAGGAGCGCCCCGCCCGGGGCCGCGGGAGGGACGGACCGAGCGCUGCGGUGCAGGUGGGGAGCUCAGGUCGGGUGUCGUCGGCACACGCAGAGCCCCCUCGUCUCCCGGGGAGACGGCGCCAGCCAGCCCCACCCUCGCAGGGCCUUUCCCUUGGGGGCAGCACGGAGCAGCCGCAGGGUUGUCCGGCCUCGCAAGUUAAAACGGGCUCCUUCUGCACAGCCCUAAGCCCCGGGUCAUCUCCGCGGAUACAGUAAUGUUCAGACCCCUCCAGAACAACACCGCAUCUGCAACAAAUAAAAUACCCGCCUCAGAUUUCAUCUUGCGCCUCCGCUUGGCCCGCUGGUGCCUGUAAUGUCUGUAAGUCUGCUGCUUAUUAAUUUCAUUGGGUGACAUUCAGCGGGCAUGGAGGGGAGACCCCUGAAGGCCACUACACCAGAAGCUGCAGAUAUAAACAGACAGAUGCAGCAUUAGAUUUACAGUCACAAUGGAAAAUUCUCAAAACUCCUUUAUAUUAUUCCAACAAAUACCCUGAAUAAGAAAGGAUUAUUGACACUUCAGCUUUGGAGCAUCUCGCUACAGCACCAGCCUUUAGCUCAAACCAUGCAGGUUCAUCUGUGCUCACUUGCUGUGAUUGUCUAGACUCGCAUGGAGUUUCAAACAGUUUCUGGCUUGCAACAUGGUUGGAGUCUCCCACUGGGUCUCCCUCCUCAUCCUUCUACCUAUUCGUGACAAAGGGGUCACCAUCUCGGGCUUCUCCAAGCAUGGCUCGUAUUUGGACAUUGUUGGGUUGAGGACUUUGCCACAGAGGACUGUGAUUGAUCCCCCUUCUGCCUCAGUGCUAGAGUAUGCUGCUUUAAUUUGCAGAGGAAUACUGAUGAGCAGCUGUACAAGCUGAGAUGACACUUGAUCUUGAGUGAAAGUGUAUUAUAGUGCUGUGGCAGCAUCCCUACAGAUAUAUUGCAGGCAUACAGGAACAUAUAAAAUGUAUGGACAGGUAUCAAGAAGCAAUAUGCAACUGUGACAAGUUGAAUAAUACAUUUAUCUCCCUUAUUGAGACCCAGUCACAACACAGAAAGAGGAGGAGGAGGAAGAGAGAGAAAGAGAAAACUAAAAACCCUGAAGGAUGGUUCUCAAAAAUUCGAAAGGAACCACAGGGAAUUCCUUUUAAGAGCAACAGAAAGCGAGCCAGCUGAGAUUUCAGAAUUGCCAUCCUCCCUGCCAACAUGUCAUGAACAAGAAAAAAAAGAUUGCAUGAAAAAUCUAAUGGGUGUCUGGUCUGAUUGUCCUCACUCGUGGCAGGAAAGACAAAAACUGAUGAAUUGUGAAAUGUAUUCAGAGGGAUUCAAGAAAAGCAAGUGUCUAGGACCCCCCUCCUCACCAACACCUCCUCGUUUUCAUCUUGUUAUGCUUGAUGCGCCAUACAUGCUUGCCCUGACACUUGGGUUUGUAGAAAUUUAAGAUUAACAGUUUUUACAUUCACCCUGCUGAUCCCCCCCCCCCCUUUAAAGUCAUCAUUAAAAAUAAAGUUAGCAGGGCUUAUAUUUAGCACUAUUUCCCACUCAUAUUGCUGACAUUUCAGCACCUUCAAAUUGGUUUCAAACAUGUAAAAUGUUUCGAUUGCAAACAGACAAUUCUGUUUGUUUCUAUAUUUCUUUGUCCAGCUGUGGAUUUUGUGCCUAUUAGAGAGAAAUCAUUAAGCAGGCCUCAUAUGUAAUAAAGAAAAAAACGAAUGCUGGGUAACUUAUUAGGGGAUUGGAUUAGUAAGGAGUAAAAGUACGGUAAAUAGCAAUACUGACCUUUUGCUUCAUCAGGCAGUUUAUUAAUUGACUUACUAAAAAUUAUGUGAACUAUUUUAAAACAAAAAUAUCUCAUUGUUUUCAGUUUUGAAAAUAUUUGCUUCCUGAAAUAAACAGGCAGAAAUGUGAUUAUUAGUACAAUAGAGAGGACUAAGUAACAGUCUGCUUUUGGCAAAACAAAUAUUAAACUAAAUAUUUCUGGGUGUGUAAUAUAGAUGUUUAUGUGUACAUUAUAUAUGUGCACAAAUGCACACUGCAUGUGUGUGUCAUGUUUGUGCAUAUAUAUAAUGCAUACCAAUAUAAAGAGUAUUAGGAGAGAGAAAGUGUAACUUAGAUGUGUUUUCAGAGGUUUUGUUUUGGGCUAGAUCAAUCUUAGCACAGUACAUUUUUUCCUGACUGCCUACAAAUUCAGGCUCAGCAGCAGGAACUCAUUUCAGAAACAUAAAACUGAUUUGAUAAGCAGCUGCAAUAUUCAGUUCCUUUUUACUAACGGGUGGACAACCCCAGGAUUUUGAGUGCACAGAUCAGUACUGUUUUUGUUUCAAAUUUCAGAUGUUGUGGCUCAGCCUUUUAAGAAACAUGCAAAAAAUAAAUGAAAAUGACUGAAACAACACUAGAACAUUAUAAACUUUUGGGAACAUUUUUUAGGAAUUUAUACCUGUAAGUAUAUUUGCACACUAUGCAUACGUGUAUGUGUAUCUGGAACAGCAAUCUCUGAAGAUAUAUUUCUGUAAAUUAAAAAUAUAUAUAUCUACAUUCAAAAUUAAACCCAAACUAUAUUGUGGCAUAAUUUUCUCUAAAUAUUGGAUUUUAUACUGCUCAAUUCACGUUUUGAAUUUUUAUUACAUGAUUAAGAAGUGUUGUUCAAAAUAGCGUGCUGUGUGUUUGCAUACGCCCCUAUGUGCUUCUGCGUGUGUGUAUGUGUUAUUUUAUAUAAACACACACGUGUAUGUAAUGUAUUAGGAAAUUAGGUAGGUUUCUUCAUAAUUUAACUUAAAAAAAAUAAAAUUAAAAAGAGUUGAUGAACUGGUAAUACCUAUACACUUUCCUAAUUUUAUUGUGAGCAGAUAUAAUCCUGGAGAAAUACCUUCACAAUUAUUACUGAAUUUCAUGGCAUGUUUCAGACAUGUAUUUGGUAAAAUAAAAUGUUUUUAAAAACUUGUGCAUAAUUUUAGUUCACAAAGCAAAGAAACUGGAAAGGUGCAGUUCUUUUUAAUUAAAAAAAAUUGUAUGCUGUCUUUGAAAAGAAAUGGUGUAAACAGGAUAAACUGUAAUUUCUUCAUGGUUUAUAAGAUUUAUAAUAAUAAUCAGCAAAACGUUGUAACAUUGUUUGCACCUUGUGUGCCCUUAAGCCAUUGGAUCAUUCAGUUAAUUGUAUAAAUUCCAUAUAUUAUGGGAAAUCAUGAUGUAUCGUUUAUAUUCAGCUUGUCAGGUGUAUAAAUAUUAAAAUAUAUUAGCAAAAAAUGGCUGAUUAUCCCUCAAACAUUUUGUGAUAAAUCUUGACUUUUUAUGGUUUUGGUGGGAGGGGGCAUGACUAAAUAUUUUAUGUUAUUUGAAAAUAUUCUUUGAACAACCUAGAUUUAUUAUUAACAUUUUAAACAUUUAUAACUGCCUUAAAAAUGCUGAAGCUUGGUCCACUUUACAGUCCUAUACCAAGGUAAAGUUAUUUUUGUAUGCAAAAUACACCGUUGACAGAGAUUAUACCAUUUAUUCAGCAUAGUAUGUACAAUUUAUACACAUUUCAUCUUUAUUUCUAUUUAUAAAAAAUCGGCAAUGUGCACAAAUGUAAUCAUAGGCAUACAAGACCUUGAUGCAAUAAUAUUGAAUGUUAAUUUAUGUGUAAGCAUGCUUUAUAUUAUUCAUGUAUACACUUUGGUUUGUUUAGUAAUAUACACAGACAUACAGUGUAUAUGUAUUUGCAUAUAUAUGUACACGCCGUAUUUCUACUGAAAAUAUAUUUUUAAUUUUAUAUGUGCAUGUCUCUUUCUCUGUGUAAAUAUAUUCCACAUCGCAUACUGCAUGCUAUCCUAUCUAGCAUGAAUGUGUAAAGACUGUAUAAGGGAAUGUGAAGAGAACACAGUGAUACAUAUUUGUUGAUACAAAUAUAUCUGUUUAAUGAAUAAAUAAAUACAGAGUU